rnacentral:rRNA from 1 species
UGAGGAAUAUUGCGCAAUGGGGGAAACCCUGACGCAGCAACGCCGCGUGAAGGAAGACGGUUCUCGGAUUGUAAACUUCUUUUGUCAAGGACGAUAAUGACGGUACUUGACGAAUAAGCCACGGCUAACUACGUGCCAGCAGCCGCGGUAAUACGUAGGUGGCAAGCGUUGUCCGGAAUUACUGGGUGUAAAGGGCGAGUAGGCGGGACUGUAAGUCUGGCGUGAAAUCUGGUGGCUUAACCACCAAACUGCGUUGGAAACUAUGGUCCUUGAGUGAUGGAGAGGCAGGCGGAAUUCCCGGUGUAGCGGUGGAAUGCGUAGAUAUCGGGAGGAACACCAGUGGCGAAGGCGGCCUGCUGGACAUUAACUGACGCUGAGGAGCGAAAGCGUGGGGAGCAAACA